rnacentral:rRNA from 1 species
UACGAAGGGGGCUAGCGUUGCUCGGAAUCACUGGGCGUAAAGCGCACGUAGGCGGAUCUUUAAGUCAGGGGUGAAAUCCUGGAGCUCAACUCCAGAACUGCCUUCGAUACUGGGAAGCUCGAGUCCGGGAGAGGUGAGUGGAACUGCGAGUGUAGAGGUGAAAUUCGUAGAUAUUCGCAAGAACACCAGUGGCGAAGGCGGCUCACUGGCCCGGUACUGACGCUGAGGUGCGAAAGCGUGGGGAGCAAACAGG